CCACAAGAUACUAGGUACUUCGCCCACAAGAUACUAGGUACUUCUCCCACAGGUACUAGGUACUUCUCCCACAAGGUACUAGGUACUUCUCCCACAAAUACUAGGUACUUCUCCCA
rnacentral:lncRNA from 1 species